rnacentral:rRNA from 1 species
UACGUAGGCAGCAAGCGUUGUUCGGAGUUACUGGGCGUAAAGAGUAUGUAGGCGGUUGACCAAGUUUGGUGUGAAAUCUCCCGGCUUAACUGGGAGGGUGCGCCGAAUACUGGUUGACUUGAGCGUGGGAGAGGAAAGCGGAAUUCCUGGUGUAGCGGUGAAAUGCGUAGAUAUCAGGAGGAACACCUGUGGCGAAAGCGGCGCACUGGACCACAACUGACGCUGAGGCGCGAAAGCUAGGGGAGCAAACAGG